rnacentral:rRNA from 1 species
GACCGCCUGGGGAGUACGGCCGCAAGGUUAAAACUCAAAUGAAUUGACGGGGGCCCGCACAAGCGGUGGAGCAUGUGGUUUAAUUCGAUGCAACGCGAAGAACCUUACCUGGUCUUGACAUCCACAGAACUUUCCAGAGAUGGAUUGGUGCCUUCGGGAACUGUGAGACAGGUGCUGCAUGGCUGUCGUCAGCUCGUGUUGUGAAAUGUUGGGUUAAGUCCCGCAACGAGCGCAACCCUUAUCCUUUGUUGCCAGCGGUUCGGCCGGGAACUCAAAGGAGACUGCCAGUGAUAAACUGGAGGAAGGUGGGGAUGACGUCAAGUCAUCAUGGCCCUUACGACCAGGGCUACACACGUGCUACAAUGGCAUAUACAAAGAGAAGCGACCUCGCGAGAGCAAGCGGACCUCAUAAAGUAUGUCGUAGUCCGGAUUGGAGUCUGCAACUCGACUCCAUGAAGUCGGAAUCGCUAGUAAUCGUAGAUCAGAAUGCUACGGUGAAUACGUUCCCGGGCCUUGUACACACCGCCCGUCACACCAUGGGAGUGGGUUGCAAAAGAAGUAGGUAGCUUAACCUUCGGGAGGGCGCUUACCACUUUGUGAUUCAUGACUGGGGUGAAGUCGUAACAAGGUAACCGUAGGGGAACCUGCGGUUGGAUCACCUCCUUA